UCUGAGGAACUACAGUCUGACAGGAAGGGAAGGAAGUUGGUCAGACUGCCAGGCGCCAUUUCACAGCUGGACGGAGCAGGAGGAGAACAACAGGACUGAAGAAGAUGAGUGAUUUAGAAGAUGAGGAAGAGGACGAGUCUCCAGUCUCCAGCUGUCUGAGGAGUGUCCGGUCUAUGAGUCCACCUCUAUACUUCAGUAAUGAACCUGGACCCUCAGACACAAAAGGGAAGAGGAAGAGUGGUGUUCCUGUGGGGCAGCAGCUGUCCAGCUGUGCUCUGUGUCAGGACGUCCUGAAGGAUCCAG